UUAUAAAGUAAAACAAGUUAUCAAAAAGUAUAUAUAUUAUGGAAAGAAAUAAGUUCUGGAGAAAUCUCCUUCUUUUCCACUCACUCACGCUUCUCACUCUCUUUCUCUCACCCGACUCCAUCUCUUCACCUCAACCUCCCUCCCUUCCUCACUCCACCGCCACGCCCCGUCGCGCCGCCUAGCAUCGCGCUGCUGCUCCCUCACCUCCCUUCUUCGUUGGUUGCUGCGGGUGUUGUGAUUGUUGUUGAUAAUCGUGCUACUCUUCCCCUCUCCUCUCGGUCUUGCUCCAUGCUACCGCCGCCGAUGGCGGCCGUUGAAUUUCAAUCAGUAAUGCUCCCUCAUCAAUUGGUAAUUACUUGAGUUCUUUUGUUAAUCGAUUGAUUAGUUCUUGAUUUAAGAACCUGAAACCCUAACUUAUUCAUUUUCUUUCUCCUCGUGGGUGCGCCACCCCUUCUGGUUGCCGGCGUGACGAUGUUCCAUCGUCGCCGCCGUUUGUCCUGCUCGUUGCGGUUGUUGUUGUCAUUGGUUGUCGGGCUGAUUGUGUUUUUCUCUCUCCUCUUUUCGUUCCUCUGCUCUGCCUCCUCUCCUCCUCGCCGGAGCACCGCCCUUUGUGACUAAUGGAGUUGGUCAUGUUGUUGGGGUCGAUCUUGUUAUUGUUGAUGUUGUUGAUUCCCUUCUCACUUUCCUAUUUAACAUGAGGGUGAAUUUAUUGGAGAAUAGAACAUCCAAAUUUUCGCUAAGAAUUCACUCAAGGUAACCCCAAGGACACCUCCUUCAUUUAUAUCUUUUGAAUCUAUGUGCUAACAAAUUAAAUGCAAAUCUAUGAAUAUUCAUUUUCGAUAUUAAACAACCUCUCUUAUAAAAGCUUUAAACUUUGAUUUUUCUAAUUUUUUCAAUAUACAUAUUGAAUUAUCAAAGAUGUUUUACGAAUUACUCUUAAAAGAUUUCUAUAAUAGAACCAUCGUAUUUGUGAUGUGAAAAUGUGACUAUUGCCUUGUUUGUUUUAUUUACUAUAGUGUGGAUGUUUGAUAUGAGUAAAUGAAUUAGAGAAUGAUGAUACUUUAUGGGUUGGAUUAAUGGCGAAUAUCAUGUUUUGUAUUAGUGAUCAAGUUAUGGAAAUUGGAAGAUUGAAUGUGAGCUAAUUAGUUUCAAUUACAAUAGAAGAAACUUUUUGAGUGUUGGAGACUUGAGUUUAAGGUGAUUGUGGGAUUUAAUGAUUUUCGCCGUAUGUGGCAAUUCGGAAUUAAUUAUCGCCGUAUGUGGCAAGAUGGUAAACCGUCCUCAUCUCUGGUGUGACUGUUCAGGGGCUCCCGGGUCACGUAAAAGAUAGAGUUGGGGGGUGUGCACAUUAGAGGUUAUUUAAAUAGUUGGCCAACGAAGAAUGAAUGUACUGUCAGGGGCUCCCGGGUCUAUCUAUUGUUCAGUAGAUUGUCAGCGGCUCCCGGAUCUACUUAGAAUUGAGAAUUUUGGGAAUUAGGUAUAUAUAUAUAUGAGAAUAUGUUUAUACGUUUAGAGAAGAGGUCAAAUAGAAAACCAUUAAAAAUCCUCAAAUAGUCGGUUUGUUUUACUUUUUGUUAUUCAAAGGUAUUUCAGAACGUUCUUUUGAAUUUCAUGUGAACUUCUUAAUUUGUUUAUGCUUAUAUGAUUUCUUUAAUAAUCAUUUUACGGAGUGGAGUGGUGGUUACCAGCUUUGCUGAUUGUUUUUCUUUGUUUGGUGUUUGUUUUAUUGUUCUCCCCUUUGGGAUUGAACCUGCAACGACCCAUUUAAUUAUGGUGAGAAAAAAAUGCAGGAAAUACAGGUAAAGAUGAAUGAUUUUGGGUUCACGUGAAGUAAAGUUGGGAACUUAGUUAUAGUGUACUUUUGUGGAAGAGUUUAAUAAUUGUGUAUAAGUUAUUUAAGUUAUUUAAAUUAUUUUAGUAAUGUAGUAUUAAUAGUACUUAGCUUUGCAUCUACUUUAUAAGUAGGUGUAGCAGUAACACCCUGAUGGUGUGUUGGGAAAUUUUAUUUGUUGGAAUGAUGUAAUUGAAGCAGGUUGAAGAAAUUAUGACGUAAUUCCCUAAAUAAUAUUUUAGAUUGUCCAUAUUUAGGGGAAAUGCUGCCGAAAUUUUUAAUAAUUUGAUAAGUUAAUAGUUAA